rnacentral:rRNA from 1 species
AGUGAACGCUGGCGGUAGGCCUAACACAUGCAAGUCGAACGGCAGCACAGUAAGAGCUUGCUCUUACGGGUGGCGAGUGGCGGACGGGUGAGGAAUACAUCGGAAUCUACUUUUUCGUGGGGGAUAACGUAGGGAAACUUACGCUAAUACCGUAUACGACCUACGGGUGAAAGCAGGGGAUCUUCGGACCUUGCGCGAUUGAAUGAGCCGAUGUCGGGUUAGCUAGUUGGCGGGGUAAAGGCCCACCAAGGCGACGAUCCGUAGCUGGUCUGAGAGGAUGAUCCGCCACACUGGAACUGAGACACGGUCCAGACUCCUACGGGAGGCAGCAGUGGGGAAUAUUGGACAAUGGGCGCAAGCCUGAUCCAGCCAUACCGCGUGGGUGAAGAAGGCCUUCGGGUUGUAAAGCCCUUUUGUUGGGAAAGAAAAGCAGCAGGUUAAUACCCCGCUGUUCUGACGGUACCCAAAGAAUAAGCACCGGCUAACUUCGUG